rnacentral:rRNA from 1 species
UACGUAGGGGGCGAGCGUUGUCCGGAUUCAUUGGGCGUAAAGAGCUCGUAGGCGGCUUGGCAAGUCGGAUGUGAAAACUCCAGGCUCAACCUGGAGCCGCCAUUCGAUACUGCUAUGGCUAGAGUCCGGUAGGGGAGUGUGGAAUUCCUGGUGGAGCGGUGAAAUGCGCAGAUAUCAGGAGGAACACCCGUAGCGAAGGCGGCACUCUGGGCCGAUACUGACACUGAGGAGCGAAAGCGCGGGGAGCGAACAGG